GGUCGCGUGGCCUAAUGGCAAGGCGUCAGUUUUCGGUAUCCGCUUUGGAUGUCAUACACUGAAGAUUGCGAGUUCGAUCCUCGUCGCGAUCA